GCCGGGGUGGCUUAGCUUGGCCCAUAGCGCCGGGCACGCUCGACGUGAGCGACACUCAUAAUCGGCCAGGUGAGAGAUCCGGAAGUCGCGGGCUCAAAUCCCGCCCCCGGCACCA
rnacentral:tRNA from 1 species